rnacentral:rRNA from 1 species
GACGAACCGUGCGAACGUUGUUCGGAUUCACUGGGCUUAAGGGGCGCGUAGGCGGGCGACCAAGUCAGGGGUGAAAUCUUUCGGCUUAACCGGAAAACAGCUUCUGAUACUGGUCGUCUGGAGGGAGGUAGGGGUCUGUGGAACUUCUGGUGGAGCGGUGAAAUGCGUAGAUAUCAGAAGGAACGCCGGUGGCGAAAGCGACGGACUGGACCUCAUCUGACGCUGAGGCGCGAAAGCUAGGGGAGCAAACGGGAUUAGAAACCCUUGUAGU